rnacentral:rRNA from 1 species
GACGAACGCUGGCGGCGUGCUUAACACAUGCAAGUCGAACGGAAAGGCCCUGCUUGCAGGGUACUCGAGUGGCGAACGGGUGAGUAACACGUGGGUGAUCUGCCCUGCACUUCGGGAUAAGCCUGGGAAACUGGGUCUAAUACCGGAUAGGAGCCAUUUUUAGUGUGAUGGUUGGAAAGUUUUUUCGGUGUAGGAUGAGCUCGCGGCCUAUCAGCUUGUUGGUGGGGUAAUGGCCUACCAAGGCGGCGACGGGUAGCCGGCCUGAGAGGGUGGACGGCCAUACUGGGUCUGAGGUGAGGCACAGAUGGCGAAGAGAGGCAGCAGGGGGGAAUAUUGCAGAAGGGGUGCAGGCUGGAUGAAGCGACGCCGCGUGGUGGAUAGCGGCCUUCGGGUUGAAAACUCCUGUCGCUAGGGAAGAAGCUUUUUGUGACGGUACCUAGAUAAGAAGCACCGGCUAACUACGUG